CGCCAGAGAACUACGAGCAUAACGCUUAAAACUCUAAGGACUUGGCGGUACCUCAAACCCCCCUAGAGGAGCCUGUUCUAUAAUCGAUAAUCCACGAUCUACCUCACCAUCUCUUGCCAAACCAGCUUAUAUACCACCGUCACCAGCCUACCCCAUGAGGCCCACAAAGGUAAGCUAAAUAACCUAAACAAUUAAUAAGUCAGGUCAAGGUGUAGCUAACUGAGAUGGAACAAAUGGGCUACAUUUUCUAUUCUAGAAAUAACCACGGAAGGAGACCAUGAAAUAGGUCCCACAAGCAGGAUUUAGCAGAAACUGGAAA
rnacentral:rRNA from 1 species